GGAUGUCAGGGUGAUCUGGCUGUGACAUAUGUCGCCCCAUUGAUCACCAGGGCUGAUUCGGCUGAUCUGGAUGGCUAGGCGGGUGUCCCCUUCCUCCCUCACUGCUCCAUGUGCGUCCCUCCCAAAGGUGUGUACUCGGUCGAAGAGGCCGACCAUCCCCACUAGAGGAGGACCGGUCUUCGGUCAAGGGUAUAUGAGUAGUUGGGCUCUCCUGCUAGAACCUCCAAACAAGCUCUCAAAUGACAGCGCAAAACCCAAACAAAGCCUCCAUAUAUUCACAGAGAGAAAUAACAUGAAUAGAGCCAAAUGUAUAGCAUGAGUAU
ensembl:misc_RNA 7SK 7SK RNA